UUAAACUUGAGAGUUUGAUCAUGGCUCAGAACGUACGCUGGCGGCACGCCUUAUACAUGCAAGUCGAACGAAGUAGAAAUACUUAGUGGCAGACGGGUGAGUAACAUGUAGGAAUCUUCCCUUUGGUGAGGAAUAACACGAGGAAACUUGUGCUAAUACCUCAUAAGUCUUUACGGAGAAAGCUUUAUGCGCCAAAGGAUGAGCCUGCACUUGAUUAGUUUGUUGGUGGGGUAAUGGCCUACCAAGACUGUGAUCUAUAGCUGAUCUGAGAGGAUGAUCAGCCACAUUGGGACUGAGACACGGCCCAAACUCCUACGGGAGGCAGCAGUAGGGAAUAUUGCACAAUGGAGGAAACUCUGAUGCAGCGAUGCCGCGUGAGUGAAGAAGGCCUUUGGGUUGUAAAGCUCUUUCGUCGGGGAAGAAAAUGACUGUACCCGAAUAAGAAGGUCCGGCUAACUUCGUGCCAGCAGCCGCGGUAAUACGAAGGGACCUAGCGUAGUUCGGAAUUACUGGGCUUAAAGAGUUCGUAGGUGGUUAAAAAAGUUGGUGGUGAAAUCCCAGAGCUUAACUCUGGAACUGCCAUCAAAACUUUUUAGCUAGAGUAUGAUAGAGGAAAGCAGAAUUUCUAGUGUAGAGGUGAAAUUCGUAGAUAUUAGAAAGAAUACCAAUUGCGAAGGCAGCUUUCUGGAUCAUUACUGACGCUGAGGAACGAAAGCAUGGGUAGCGAAGAGGAUUAGAUACCCUCGUAGUCCAUGCCGUAAACGAUGUGUGUUAGACGUUGGAAAUUUAUUUUCAGUGUCGCAGCGAAAGCAUUAAACACACCGCCUGGGGAGUACGACCGCAAGGUUAAAACUCAAAUGAAUUGACGGGGACCCGCACAAGUAGUGGAGCAUGUGGUUUAAUUCGAAGAUACGCGCAGAACCUUACCAACACUUGACAUGUUCGUCGCGACUCUAAGAGAUUAGAGUUUUCGGUUCGGCCGGACGAAACACAGGUGCUGCAUGGCUGUCGUCAGCUCGUGUCGUGAGAUGUUGGGUUAAGUCCCGCAACGAGCGCAACCCUCACUUUUAGUUGCCAUCAUUUAGUUGGGCACUCUGAAAGAACUGCCAGUGAUAAGCUGGAGGAAGGUGGGGAUGACGUCAAGUCCUCAUGGCCCUUACGUGUUGGGCUACACACGUGCUACAAUGGCAUUUACAAUAGGAAGCAAGGUGGCGACAUCAAGCAAAUCCUAAAAAAAUGCCUCAGUUCGGAUUGUACUCUGCAACUCGAGUACAUGAAGCUGGAAUUACUAGUAAUCGCGGAUCAGCGCGCCGCGGUGAAUACGUUCCCGGGUCUUGUACACACCGCCCGUCACACCAUGGGAGUUGGUUCUACCUUAAGGCAAGGUUUAAAACCCUUGACUACGGUAUAGUCAGCGACUGGGGUGAAGUCGUAACAAGGUAGCCGUAGGGGAACCUGCGGCUGGAUUACCUCCUUUCU
rnacentral:rRNA from 1 species